rnacentral:lncRNA from 1 species
UCCCUGGCCACUGAUGCCCAUGCCCUAUGAUGCCCACAGCCCCCCAGGAUGCCCAGCGAUGACCGCAUGAUGCCCACCUGCCCAUGACGUCCACAUCCCUAUGAUGCCCACAGACCCCAUGAUGCCCACAGACCCCCCCCAUGAUGCUCACAAUCACCGAGGAUGCCCGCGGCCCCCCGUGAUGCCCGUGGUUUCCUGUUGACAAAAUUUCUUAAAACAGAUCACAGUGGCUACAGGUGACCUUUUCCUCCUUCCCUCCACGCUGGGGUCCUGGCCCAGCCCAGCUGCGGAUGGAGGGAGGCCCCUGACUCAUGGGAGACGGGUCCCAGGGGUGGCACAAGCCCGUGGUCGUGGAGGCGUCCAGGCGGGGAGAUGCUGGCCCUCGCCCCGGAGCCGGGCGUCAGGCAAGUGGUUAAGACAUCAUCACAGGUCCGACGGUGGCCAGGGAACUCACCCCACUCACCAAACCCUCAGAGCUGGUCCUUGGGGGCAGCUGUCAGAGCAGGUUUAUAAGCUAAAAGCAUCCACCUCUUAGGAAUGACG